AUGAACGCUGGCGGCGUGCCUAAUACAUGCAAGUCGAGCGAACAGACGAGGAGCUUGCUCCUCUGACGUUAGCGGCGGACGGGUGAGUAACACGUGGAUAACCUACCUAUAAGACUGGGAUAACUUCGGGAAACCGGAGCUAAUACCGGAUAAUAUAUUGAACCGCAUGGUUCAAUAGUGAAAGACGGUUUUGCUGUCACUUAUAGAUGGAUCCGCGCCGCAUUAGCUAGUUGGUAAGGUAACGGCUUACCAAGGCAACGAUGCGUAGCCGACCUGAGAGGGUGAUCGGCCACACUGGAACUGAGACACGGGCCAGAACCCUACGGGAGGCAGGAGGAGGGAAUCUUCCGGAAUGGGCGAAAGCCUGACGGAGCAACGCCGCGGGAGUGAUGAAGGUUUGCGGAUCGUAAAACUUUGUUAUUAGGGAAGAAAAAAUGUGUAAGGAACUAUGCACGGCUUGACGGUACCUAAUCAGAAAGCCACGGCCAACUACGU
rnacentral:rRNA from 1 species